UAAUAUCAGGUCCACAAGUCUCACCGUCCAGAUUACAUAUAAGAAUGCCAUGUGCACUGAAUAAUUUGUGGCUAACGCACAUUUUAGUCUACGGAUGCACUUUUUCUCCUUACCUAAAUAUCUCUCUCGGUCUGACCUUUUUCGAAAUCGAAUCGUCCGCUCCGGCGUGUCGUAACGGCCGAAACUUCAUAACCCGAUCCGCUACCAUCAUAUCCCAUCAGAAGGUACAAUGGAAGAAGAAGAACACCGACAACAACACCAAGAACAAACGAGCGAUUACGUCAUGAUCACCCACAGCGAAACGGAACAACCACAACAAUACCAGAACCGAGUCCUGGAAUGGGAGAUCGGCCUGCCGUCCUCGGGCGAUCUGAUGCCUCUUUCUCAGCUGUUGAUCCCGCCCGAGCUUGCAUCUGCCUUCAGCAUUACCCCUGAGCCCCACCGUACGAUCCUGGACGUCAAUCGCGCAUCCCAGAACACGAUCUCCAGCCUCCGCUGCUCGAUCCCUACCUACCCAUCCGCCAACAACCUCAAAUCCCUCCCUCCUUUCGAAUCCCGCCUCGAUCCUGACGACGAUGAGGCCAUGAAUUCGCCAAGGGACGGGUCCGAUUCGAGGAAAGUGCGGAGGCUAAUGGAGACUGCCGAAGAGGCCGAUUCCGCACUCCGCAGUGAGAAUUCAGAAGACGCCGCUGCCCGCACCCUCAAGAGGCCGCGCCUCGUCUGGACGCCGCAGCUCCACAAGCGGUUUGUCGAUGUCGUGGCCCACCUCGGGAUCAAGAGCGCUGUCCCGAAGACGAUCAUGAAUAUGAUGAACGUUGAGGGGCUGACGCGCGAGAACGUCGCUAGCCACCUGCAGAAGUACAGGCUCUACCUGAAGAGAAUGGAUGGGUCGUUGGAUGGUGGUGCGCCGUCCUCGUCUUCGGCCGAUCACCAGCUGUUUGCUUCGACGCCCGUGCCGCAGAGCCUGCAUGAGCAGGGGCCUGUUCCAAUGCCGUAUGGCCCGCCGCUGAUGCCUAUGCCUGUUCUAGGGAUGGGGGCAAAUGGUCAUGGGCACAUGGCGGGGAUGCCUGUGAGCGGCCCAGGUGGUGGGAUCCCUUAUCCCAGGUUUGAUUCACAUCCGUAUAACAUGUUUGGCUCGAUGAUGCCGUUUCAUCACGGAACUCCGAGUGAUAAAUGAAAAUACUGUGAAUUGCAAUUGACAACACCUGCAAGAGAUUAGGCAGCACCCAUAUACCUCAUGCAUGGAAUGGAAGCAUGAUCUUAUAAAGAUGCAGAUACAGUUGCAAAGAGAAGAAAAAAGAUGCAGGCAUGCUCAGUAAUUUUCAUGCGUAUACCUGAAAGAAGCCCCAGACUCUGCAAGCCAUAUCAAGCUUUCUGAGCUCAUCCUCAUGCCUGCUGGAAAGCAAGGAUAGAUCAAUGACAGGUAUUUCAGACGAAAGGGGAGACAGAUCCAAGCUGUCGGGCUUGUCCUCGGGGUUUCUUAUGUGUCUAUCAGGAAUGUAUGUGGGAUCCCUCCUUACCAUCUCUUGAACAUUGUCUACAGGGUGGAUGGGGCAUAGCUCAAAAUCUCAAUGAUCUGGCAAGCCUAAUUGCUUGAUUGGUGGCCAUCAAAUGUACAGCCUGGGUCCAAAUUCAUUCAGCGAAAUAAGACGGUUAAGAUCAUCCCAUCAUUUGAUUCUUACAGUUAUGCCACAUCCAGAAUAAAGCCCACAAUCUCGACGAUCUGGAUUGGCAUGCGUGUAGCUGUAAGUAUCCUACUGUUUAUGAUUUAUGAAUAGAAAGAAUUUGGCUGAUA